GGGCAAAUAGUUUAGUGGUAUAACGUUCGCUUUGCAUUUGAGUUGCAAGCUUGCGAAAGGCCGGGGGUUCGAUCCCCCCUUUGUCCA